rnacentral:rRNA from 1 species
GCGAAAGCGAGUCUGAAUAGGGCGAUUCAGUCGCGUGUCCUAGACCCGAAGCGAAGUGAUCUAUCCAUGGCCAGGUUGAAGCGACGGUAAGACGUCGUGGAGGACCGAACCCACUUAGGUUGAAAACUGAGGGGAUGAGCUGUGGAUAGGGGUGAAAGGCCAAUCAAACUCCGUGAUAGCUGGUUCUCCCCGAAAUGCAUUUAGGUGCAGCGUUGCGUGGUUCUUGUUGGAGGUAGAGCACUGGAUGGUCUAGGGGGCUUAUCGGCUUACCGAAAUCAGCCAAACUCCGAAUGCUGGCAAGUGUAGCGUGGCAGUGAGACGGCGGGGGAUAAGCUUCGUCGUCGAGAGGGAAACAGCCCAGAUCAUCAGCUAAGGCCCCUAAGUGGUGACUCAGUGGGAAAGGAUGUGGAGUUGCGUAGACAACCAGGAGGUUGGCUUGGAAGCAGCCAUCCUUGAAAGAGUGCGUAAUAGCUCACUGGUCAAGUGAUUCCGCGCCGAUAAUGUAGCGGGGCUUAAGUUAUCCGCCGAAGCUGUGGCAACCUGUGUGGUUGGGUAGGGGAGCGUCGUGUCAGUGGUGAAGCUGCCGGGUGACUGUGUGGUGGAGUUGAUGCGAGUGAGAAUGCAGGCAUGAGUAGCGUGUGACGGGUGGGAAUCCCGUCCGCCGAUUAUCCAAGGGUUCCAGGGUCAAGUUUGUCUGCCCUGGGUGAGUCGGGUCCUAAGGCGAGGCCGACAGGCGUAGUCGAUGGGUAACCAGUUGAUAUUCUGGUACCGGCUUGUCACCGUCCGUGUCGAGGUGUGUGAUGCUAAGCAUGUGAGCUUGUCUUGGGAGUGUUUUUGAUGCUUCUGGGGUGGGUGAGUGUGUGAACCGAUCAUGUAGUAGGCAAGCUGCGGAGGGACGCAGUGAGGUAGCUCAUCCCCGGUGAUGGUUGUCCGGGGCUAAGUGUGUGGACUGUCUGGUAGGUAAAUCCGCUGGGCGUGAAGGUUGAGGCAUGAUGGGGAGCCCAUGGUUGUGGGUGAGUGAGUGAUCCUGUACUGUCGAGAAAAGCUUCGUGAGCGAGGUGGCGGGUCCGCCCGUACCCUAAACCGACACUGGUGGAUAGGUAGAGUAUACCGAGGCGAUCGAGUGAAUCGUGGUGAAGGAACUCGGCAAAAUGCCCCCGUAACUUUGGGAUAAGGGGGACCUGAGCUGUCGUGCACCCGUGCGGUGUGGUGGCGGUGAGGGGCGCAGAGUCCAGGGGGAAACGACUGUUUACCAAAAACACAGGUCCGUGCGAAGUCGUAAGACGAUGUAUACGGACUGACUCCUGCCCGGUGCUGGAAGGUUAAGAGGAUUGGUUAGCCCUUUUGGGCGAAGCUGAGAAUUUAAGCCCCAGUAAACGGCGGUGGUAACUAUAACCAUCCUAAGGUAGCGAAAUUCCUUGUCGGGUAAGUUCCGACCUGCACGAAUGGAGUAACGAUUUCCCUACUGUCUCCACCAUGAACCCGGUGCUGGAAGGUUAAGGGG